rnacentral:rRNA from 1 species
CACGUAGGGCGCAAGCGUUGUCCGGAAUUAUUGGGCGUAAAGAGCUCGUAGGCGGUCUGUUGCGUCCGCUGUGAAAACCCGGGGCUUAACCCUGGGCUGGCAGUGGAUACGGACAGACUAGAGGUAGGUAGGGGAGAAUGGAAUUCCCGGUGUAGCGGUGAAAUGCGCAGAUAUCGGGAGGAACACCGGUGGCGAAGGCGGUUCUCUGGGCCUUAC